rnacentral:miRNA from 1 species
GGUGUCCUGGUUCAGUUUGAUUUUCACAUAAUCAAUGGAAGAUUUCUUUAGGAUAAGUAUCUUCUAUGUAAGGUUUGGGACAAACUUAUGCUGAAAUGUUAUUAGGUGUUUAUCUGAACUUCAAGUUUACAGAGUAUU